CUCCCUCUCUUGUCCUCCAUUUCUUUCAUUUUCCCAAGCUCUGCUCAUCAAAAGAAAACCUGCUCAGAGAGACUGGACCGCAACACAUUCCAGCUGCUUCACAGUAUCUUCAAGCCACUAAGGAUGUCCAUCAUGUCAGAAGUCGCACACCUGCCCUCCAUGACACCCCCUGCACCCGGUUACAACUCCACCUCUGGCCUCCUGACCACCCCCACACUGCUCCCAUGGGAGGAGGCGCACAUGCAAGUGCACAACAUCCUUAUUGUCAUCAUUUUUUCUCUUGUUUGCUUCCUACUCCUGCACGUCUUUUUCUACACCUUCUGCUUCCACUGCUCCAUCAGUUCAAUACCUAAAGACUCGCACGCAGCCAACGAAUACAGCCAAGAGCGCGAGGACACCACCUACAAGUGCAGUUCUUCUGAUAACCAAUCAGCAGGGAACAUUGUCUGAUUGGUUCGCUGGACCAGAAUAAUGGCCAUUCGACUGUCUAUCAAUGUUUUUGUGUCAGCAUCACACUGUCCUAGUAGUGUAUGUGCACUGUGAGGCAGAGAGUUUUAACCUUCCAUAAACCAUGUGUGAAAUUUGAAACAUU